rnacentral:rRNA from 14 species
UCGUUUGGCUCCCGAACCGAUGAUAAGUCGCGACAACCAACGAUUUGAUGUAUUUUGAUACAGAAUUCUGCGGCUCAUCUCCUACGAACGAUACUCGAGCGCUUCUC